rnacentral:rRNA from 1 species
CGUAGGGUGCGAGCGUUAAUCAGAAUUACUGGGCGUAAAGUGUGCGCAGGUGGCCGCGCAUGUCGAGUGUGAAAUCCCCGGGCUUAACUUGGGAAUUGCGCUCGAAACUACGUGGCUCGAGUGUGGCAGAGGAAGGUGGAAUUCCAGGUGUAGCGGUGAAAUGCGUAGAGAUCUGGAGGAACACCGAUGGCGAAGGCAGCCUUCUGGGCCAACACUGACACUCAUGCACGAAAGCGUGGGGAGCAAACAGGAUUAGAUACCCUGGUAGUCCACGCCCUAAACGAUGAUGACUAGUUGUUGGAGGAGUUAAAUCCUUUAGUAACGCAGCUAACGCGUGAAGUCAUCCGCCUGGGGAGUACGGUCGCAAGAUUA